rnacentral:rRNA from 1 species
UACGUAGGGGGCAAGCGUUGUCCGGAUUUAUUGGGCGUAAAGAGCGUGUAGGCGGCUAGAUAGGUCCGUUGUGAAAACUCGAGGCUCAACCUCGAGACGUCGAUGGAAACCAUCUGGCUAGAGUCCGGAAGAGGAGAGUGGAAUUCCUGGUGUAGCGGUGAAAUGCGCAGAUAUCAGGAAGAACACCCGUGGCGAAGGCGGCAUCCUGGACCAACACUGACACUGAGGAGCGAAAGCCAGGGGAGCAAACGGG